CCUACGGGUGGCAGCAGUGGGGAAUAUUGCACAAUGGGCGAAACCCUGAUGCAGCAACGCCGCGUGAAUGAAGAAGCGUCUCGGCUCGUAAAGCUCUAUCAGCAGGGACGAAAAAAACGGUGGCUGAAGAAGAAGCCCCGGCGACAUACGUCGCAGCAGCCGCGGCAGUACGUAGGGGGCAAGCGUUAUCCGGAUUUACUGGGUGUAAAGGGGGGGGAGACGGCGGGGUAGUCCAGGAGUGAAAGCCCUGGGCUUAACCCCAGGAUUGCUUUUGGAGCUGCGAAGCUGGAGUGCAGGAGGGGCAGGCGGAAUUCCUGGUGUAGCGGUGAAAUGCGUAGAUAUUAGGAGGAACACCGGUGGCGAAGGCGGCUUUCUGGACUGCAACUGACGUUGAGGCCCGAAAGCGUGGGGAGCAAACAGGAUUAGAUACCCUUGUAGUC
rnacentral:rRNA from 1 species